rnacentral:rRNA from 1 species
GAUUAACGCUGGCGGCGUGCCUAACACAUGCAAGUCGAGCGGCAGCGAGUUUUACACUGAAUUCUGGAAGCUUCUAGUUGAAAGAGAAGAUUUAUUCAAGAAUUUUGUGUAAAAUGUCGGCGAGCGGCGGACGGCUGAGUAACGCGUGGGAACGUACCCCAAAGUGAGGGAUAACGCAUCGAAAGGUGUGCUAAUACCGCAUAUGGUCUUCGGAUUAAAGCCUUCGGGCGCUUUGGGAACGGCCUGCGUAAGAUUAGAUAGUUGGUGGGGUAAUGGCCUACCAAGUCGACGAUCUUUAACUGGUUUGAGAGGAUGAUCAGUCAGACUGGAACUGAGACACGGUCCAGACUCCUACGGGAGGCAGCAGUGAGGUAUCUUCCACAAUGGGCGAAAGCCUGAUGGAGCAACGCCGCGUGCAGGAUGAAGGCCUUCGGGUUGUAAACUGCUUUUAUAAGUGAGGAUUAUGACAGUAACUUAUGAAUAAGGAUCGGCUAACUACGUG